UGCAGUCUGCAACUCGACUGCACGAAGCUGGAAUCGCUAGUAAUCGCGGAUCAGCACGCCGCGGUGAAUACGUUCCCGGGCCUUGUACACACCGCCCGUCACACCAUGGAAGUCUGCAAUGCCCGAAGCCGGUGGCCUAACCACUUAUGUGGAAGGAGCCGUCUAAGGCAGGGCAGAUNACUGGGGUGAAGUCGUAACAAGGUAUC
rnacentral:rRNA from 1 species